UACGUAGGGUGCGAGCGUUAAUCGGAAUUACUGGGCGUAAAGCGUGCGCAGGCGGUUCUAUAAGACAGAUGUGAAAUCCCCGGGCUCAACCUGGGAAUUGCAUUUGUGACUGUAGAGCUAGAGUACGGUAGAGGGGGAUGGGAAUUCCGCGUGUAGCAGUGAAAUGCGUAGAGUAUGCGGAGGAACACCGAUGGCGAAGGCAAUCCCCUGGACCUGUACUGACGCUCAUGCACGAAAGGCGUGGGAGCAAACGAGG
rnacentral:rRNA from 1 species